rnacentral:lncRNA from 1 species
GUACACACUCAUAGGGAAAGAUCAUACCAAUAGCAUACAGAAUUUUUUUUUUUGUCUCGACAUGCAUGUCAGCUUCAACUGCCUUCAUUCACAUGCAAACAGAGCAUUUCUUCAUAUUCCUCAAACAAGAUGUUUUAACUAAAAAACCAUGUAUAUUCACAAGCAAUGUAACUAAUUAACACUAGAAGAACAUUUCCUCUAGAGACGCAUAGCUCUCACGUUUCGCACGAAUUCAACAAGCAAAGAGAAUGAAGGCCAAACCCACCAAAUUUAGAUCUCGUGAGCUUGGAAAAGGAAGACAUACCUAGGCCUUACCAUAAUAUUAUUUUAAAACAAUUUGAUUUACCCCAGGUUCAGAAAGCUUACACGUGAAAACAACAAGGGAAACCUAACAAGUAAAUAGCAUACAAAUGAAAAGACAACAGAGGCACAAAACUGAGGGGUCCACUCAACCCCACCCCCACUAAAAAAAUAAAAAUUCUCGUUACAGCCGUUUGUUCAUGGUCCCAACUCCCACCAAUAAUUGUAUACAGUUAUGCACAAACCAACACAAAAACCAACUGUAAUUCUCUGCAUAUUUCAUUGUUACCUAGUAAAAUAUGGUUUGUUAUGGUGCACCGCAGGCAUUCCAAUCCGCAUGGGCAGCUGCUUGUAAGGUGGAGGCAUCAACGGUGCUCGUUCCAUCAAAAUAUGUAUUCCUUGUGGGACCUGUUUCUUUCUCUGGUCCAUACUGUCAAGCAAACAUUGUAUUUCAGGUAAAAGUGACAAAUAAAUUAAUAAAAAUGCAUUCAAAUCUGUGUUGCUCAGAAUCCAAUACGACACAUCCAUGUCUGUUUUAAAUGUCCAAUAUGCGUCCCACAUGGGUAUGCUAUCAUAAAGUGAAAAGUUAUAGCAACACAGAUUCUAACAACAUACUCGAGAAAAUUUACCCAUGUCUGAUGUGCAAUUAUGCAUCCCACAUGCG